CCAAGGCAUUGCUCACGGCAAAGCAAUUAAGGCAAAGGCAUAUGGCAAGCCGAUUGCUUGUCACCGGGCAAGGCAAUGCAUUGCUCACGACAUGCCAAGACCAAGGGUGGCCAAGGCAUGACUCACGGCAUGCCAAAACAAGGCGUGGCCAAGGCAAAGCCAUAACAAGGGUUGGCUCCCAAGUUGCUGGGUAACGGCUAAAAAGUUGCUGGAUAACGGCAACCAAGUUGUCGGGUAAGGCUGGGUAUCGGCUAAAAAGUUGCUGGGUAACGGCACCCAAGUUGUCGGGUAACGCCGGGUGUCGGCUAAAAAGUUGCUGGGUAACGGCUAAGAAGUUGUUGAGUAACGGCAACCAGAUUGUCGGGUAAUGCUGGCUAUCGGCUAAAAGAUUGCUGGGUAACGGCUAAGAAGUUGCUAGGCAACGGCAAGCAAGUUGCUGGGUAACGGCUAAAAAGUAGCUUGUCGCCGGGCAAAUCAAUGCAAGCACCAAUAUGUUCUUGUCGAAACGCCCCAAAAACUCUUGUUUAGUCGCCAUCUUUUGGGACUUUCGCAAUGUUAGUUUUAAAUCUUUUUUAAUUUUUAUUUUUAGACGUUUUUAAGUCUUAAUUUAAACAUUUUCUAUUAUAGAUGCCUCAUUUUUCAACCCAAUAUAUUUACAUAAUUAUUGUGUAGCUUGUUUAUAAUUUUUCGUGAUUUUUUCUUACCUUUUUUGUAUUUUUUUGUAUUUUUUAUGAUUUUUAUCUAUUUAUUUUUU